ensembl:lncRNA
CUCGGGCUCGGGUUUCAGCCAGCCUGGGCGGUGACGAGACGGGCCUGCAGGCCCGCGAGGCCUUGGCCGUGGAAGACCCCGCAGCCCGGUUCUCCGCGGGGUCACGACCCUGGCGUGACUGUGGGAGUCCUCGGGCCAGUCCCUGUGCACGAGCCACGUCGUCUCCUCCCCGAAAGGGGCUUCCCCGGGCGCCUGGGCUGGAACGGAGCGCUGAGAGGGCCGCUGAAGCAUCCGGUGCCGCUCUCCUUCCCUCCCGGACCAGAGGGGCAGAGAGCUCCGGCGCUGCGAGGAAGCUCCGGGCCAAAGCUUUAGUCAUUUAGAAGAGCCCCAGGUUCCAUGUGGGCAUCAGACAGCAGGGACACAGGAUGGAGUAACACGUGACCCUGCUCUGGAGGAGAUCAGGGGACAGGAGGACCCUGAGAAGUGGAGGACCCACCUUUAGGAGUCAAUGGCAGAUCUGCUCACAGGGUGUUCCUGCCCUCUUCCCCUUGCUGACCUUUCUGCUGGGGCCCUGCCUCUGCUGCGCUGCAUCAAAUCGACAUGCUCUCAAGAAACCAGGCCAACUCUGCUCUCAGCCCCGCGGGAGGCGCAGAUGCAGGCGAUGGGCACUGAUUGGCCAGCGGCAGCUUACCCUCAACGCGGAGGGAGACCGGAUGGAGGGGAUCAGGGACCAGGGGGCUCACACCGACUGCCACAGGAGUUUUGCAGAGCAAACACAGAAAGCAGAGUGUAAAGAAAAAAGAAAGCCAGAGUGGGCGUCGUGUAAGAGGCUGUGGCCCUGCAGCCAGUCGCAGCCCAGGUGCAGCGUGCCAUGAGGCGUGUCCCAGAUUUCCCAAGCAGAGCUCCAGUCCACUUGGAAGUGUUGACAACACAUGAAGUUAAAAGCAUCACAAUGUGAAUUAUCACGUUGUUUUUUCCACUUUGAUAGCCUGUACAAAGCAUUUUAUACUGAUGAAUCAAUACAAAUGUCUCUUUAUGAGGACAUCAGGAACCAAAAAAGAAUUUUUUUUUUUUUCCUUGAGAGAAACCAGAACAAUGAUUCGAGCUCUGGCUCACAUAAUAGCCCUAGGUAACAUGGUUGGUUGAGUCUCUCCUUUAAUAGAGGCCACGGAGGCAACAGAGGCCCACUGGCUUGGAUCACACCAUCAGCUCCUGGGUGAACGUCCUGCCUGCUGAUGGGUCCGCACCAUGAGAUGAGACGGCUCAGUCCCAAUUGUGUCGCUGUUGUCUCGUGACCACACACGUGAGCUUGUGUGCAUGAGUAAGAAUAUAUAUAGUGUAUGUAUGUGCCUGUACAACUGUGUGUGUGUGUAUAUAUAUAUGUAUUUUGUGGUUUGGUAAAAUAAAGCUCACAAAUUAGGAAUAAUUUAUAACUCGUUAUAACUCAAUUAUUGGCUGGGACUCCCUUUAUGUUACAGCAGAUGGACUUUUGCGUGAAAUAUUUU